GCGGAAGUGGCUGGAAGUCAUGAGGAACACAUCAGCGGAAGAAGACAAAAGCAGCUGGUCGUGGAGAUUCCGCCAGGGGAAGAGCACACCGGCAGGCACCGCAGGCCAUCGAUCAUCAGAAAGACACGGAGUUUGGCCAGAAUUAUCAGAGAAGAGUUUGGCCAGAGGGGUCAGAGAAGAGUCCAGGGGAAAACGAUCUCCCCUGUGACUCCGGAAUCUUCUGAGAGCUACUUCUACUUAAUAAAACCCUGCACUCAUUCUCCAAGCCCACAUGUGAUCCGAUUCAUCCAGUACACCAAGUGUCCAGGGACAUCUAGAUGAUAUAAGUUCCUUCAGAUGGGUCCCUGGUGUGAGGGUGUCCUGUAUCAGACUGCCUAUUGAAGUUCAACCUGUUGUUCAAGACAGGAUCUCAUUCAGAAUACUACUUUCAUUCAGGCUGGAGUGCAGUGGCAUGAUCUUAGCUUUCUGCAACUUCCGCCUCCUGGGCUCAAGCGAUUCUCCUGUCUCAGGCUCCGGAGUAGCUGGGACUACAGGCAUGCGCCACAACACCAGGGCAGGUGUCCUCAUCAGAAGAGGAAGAGACAUCAGAAGCAGGUCUGCACAGAGGAGAAGCCAUGCUGGGAUACAAUGAGAGGGCAUCUGUCAGCAAGCCAAGGAGAGAAGCCUCAGGAGAAACCACAGCUGUCGACACCUUGAUUUUAGACUUCCAACCUCCAGAAAUGUGAGAAAUACAUUUAUGUUGUUUUAGCCACCCACUCUGUGAUACCGUGUUAUGGCAGCCCUAGAUGACUAAUAUACAAAUAACUAGUUGUGAAACUGAAAACUUCUGAAAAAUCUUUAUAAAACAUCAAAUAUUAUUAACCUUGAUUGUAAAAAGACUGAAUUUUCUUUCUACUAUCUUUAUAGAAAAAGAUAAUACAAAAUAUUUGUAAUAUGAAUACGAAGUCAAAAAAUGUAAGAAAAAAGUAUUAUAGAGAUGUAUUAGGUAGCUGAUUAAAAAUGUUAUUUUUCUAGAGUUUGCAAUCCUUGUUAUUUUUUGCACAGAUUUUUAAAAUGUGCAAUUUUUGCUUUUUGUCCUUAUUCUAAAUGUUCACUCUCAUAUUUGAGUAUGCAUUUGUAAUUUUGAAUUAAUUUCUUAAAGUAGGCUCCUCAAAUUGAGUAAACCUCAGGUUUUACAUAAUCUGAAUCUAUCCCUGGUUAAAAGUUCUGGCUUUAAAACCAGAGUGACCUGAAUCCGCACACAACUUCAGUAUUAUCACUGUCUGUGACUUGGGAAAUAUUUCAAAGGACUUAGGUCUUCUGUAACAAUACCUACCGCAUGAGAGUGUUGUGUUAAUUAAAUGGCAUAGCCGCAUAUAAAAUGACUAGCAGAGUUCUCUUCUUAUACUUCUUUGGUGGGCUUCAAACUAUUGUACCCCAACAAAAGUGACACAUGACAACAAAAGUGUAUUGUUACACUUUUUUGGGGGUACAAUAUUUUGUUUAAGGUCUUGUGUCACUUAAUGAUAGGGAUACAUUCUGAGGAAUGUGUUGUUAGGUAAUUUUGUCAUUAUGUGAACAUCAUAGAUUGUACUUAUGCAAACCUAGAUGGUUGAACUUACUACACAUCUGGGCUAUAUGGUAAGGCCUAUUGCUCCUAGGCUACAAACCUGUACAGUAUGUGAUAGUAAUGAAUAUUGUCACCAAUUAUUACACAUUGGUAUUUAUGUAUCUAAACAUAGCUAAAUAUUUUUAAAAGGUACAUUAAAAGCAGUAUAAAAGAUAAAAAAUGGCCAGGUGCAGUGGGUCGCACCUAUCAUCCCAACACUUUGGAUAGACAAGGUAGGAGGAUCACCUGAGCAUAGGAGUUUAAGACCAAGCUUAGGAACAUAGUGAGACACCGUCUCUAGUAAAGCAAACAAAAAUUAGCCAGGUAUGGUGGCAUGCAACUGUGGUUCCAGCUAUUUGGGGGCUGAGAGGGGAGGAUCACUUAAGCCCAGGAGUUUGAAGCUGCAGUAAGCCAUGAUCGUGCCAUUGCACUCCAGCUUGGGUGACAGAAUGAGACACGGUCUUGGGAAAUAUUUUUAAAAUUAAAAUUUAAAAUGAUACAUAUUUCUGAACCCCUUGAGUCCUAUAAAGAAAAAUUGAAUAUCAAAUUUAAUAGGCCAGCUACAUUAUAAUCUUAUGGGGCCACUAUUAUAUAUGCAAUCUGCUAUUAAUCAAAAUGUCAUUAUGCAGUGAGUGACUAUAUAUACAUUUAUGUAAAUAAUACAUUAUAAAAGAAAUGAACAAUAAACAUUUAUUAACAUAUUUUAAUGAGCUUUUGAUGUUCCUAAUAAAGUUAGACUGCUAUGGUUUUAAUGUAUGUUUUUCCCCAAAUUUAUAUGUUGGAAUUUAAACUUCAAAAUAAUGAUAAGAAGAGGUGAGGCCCUUAGAAGGUGUUUAGCUCAUGGGUGCUCCACACGCAAAAUGGAAUUAGAGCCUUUAUAGAAAGGCUUGGGGAAAAUAGCUAGACCCUUUCUUGCCCUUCUUCCCUUCUGACUUCCUCCAGUGAGGACACAGAAUUUGUCCCACUCAGAGGAUGCAGCAAUACGGCACCAUCUCAGAAGCAGAGAGUAACCCUUCACCAGACACCGAAUCUGCUGGCCCCUUGAUCUUGGACUUUCCAGCCUUCAGACCUGUGAGAAAUAGAGUUCUAUUCUUUAUGAAUUAUCCAGUCUGUGGUAUUCAUAUUGUUAUAAUAUCAGGAAUAAACUAAGGCCCAGGGGAAUUUUAUUAAAAGGGAAAAUAUGAAGUCGCUGCAAUCCUAAUGGAAAGGCACAAGGAAAAGGAAGGUACAAAACUGAAGAGUAAAAAGUAUAGAAACUGACUAUACAAUUUUGUUCUGGGUUAGCCCAGUGGGAACAGAAAUUAGGCCUAUCAUCUCCACCAACCUCAGAAGAUGAGAAUAACUGAGAAAGUUCACCCAAUGUAUCUAAUAUUAUGUAGAACUAUUUAGGUCAAAUUCUUUUUUUACAGGACUAUAAAAAAUUACAGAUGAUGCCUAUGUCUGUGCAUAUUUAUUCAGUCUCUCAUUUAAACAGAAAGUCAAUUCAGACGCUUUGUUUCCCAUAUACGUAGAGACAGUUUGAGCCACAGUUAAAGUUUCUAGGAUUUAAUGGCCAAUCUAUAGGAACUUUAUCUAUGUAACUGCUGCACCAAAUUCUUUAAUAUGUCAUUUUCUUCACUUUUAUUUUACUUCCCUUACUUCUGUUUAAGAAAAUUUUCAGGUCCAAACAUCUUGUUUAAACUCAUUAUUUUUUUUUUUUGUAUUUCAAUCUCUUUCACAUUUCUGUCCACUUUAAUUUUUUUUCUUUUUUCUCUUUCAUGAGUUUGUCCCCAGUUGGCAUCUUCUCUUCUAUGCUAGGAUUUAUUUUUUUUAAAAAAAGUUUUAGAUGAAAUGAAAGAUACGAGAGAUAUAAAUGAAAGUGGCAUAAAAACUCCAAAGCUAAGGAAGAUAAUAGAAGGAGACAUUUUAAAAUUAAAUGCAAACAGUGGCUCAGAGAGUACAAACAAAAGCAGGUGGAAAGAGGACAAUCUCCAGCAUCCAGAACCAGAAAUGGUUCUAAAAGGUCAGUGCAUGAAGCACACAGCCAGGUCAGCAAACAUUUCUCUCUCCUCAGGCCAGAGAAGUAAAUAGAAAAUUCACAGGAGACUUGAACAGUAAAGGAAUAGUAAAUAAAAUUGCUACUUGGACGCCAAAGAGACAAGAUUUGCACCAAACAAGAGUUUUAAGUUUAAAAAUCACAGGAAGGCACCUGAGGCUAGAUCCACAAAAAUUUCUGAAGACAUAAAUAUUCUGAUAAGGUCUGAGAUAUUGUUGAAAAACUAAAUUCUCUAACAUAAAAGAGAUAAGAGUUUAAUUUCUUUUGUUUGCUCUUUCCUAGCUGUGUGACCUGUUAAAAUUUAUUCAACCCCUCUGAGCCUCAGUUACCUAUCAAUCAUUAACUGAACAACACAUGUCAGGUCAUCACAUAGAUUAAAUACAUGAAAAUUGCUGAGGACAGUAUAACACAAAACCUUACCAAAUUGUAGUUUGCUUCCUAAGAGACUGGAUUACUAAAUUGAGAGACUGUUUCCAUGGUCAAUAAAACUG